GCUAACGCGUGGGAAUCUGCCCUUGGGUUCGGAAUAACAUCGGGAAACUGAUGCUAAUACCGGAUGAUGUCGAUAAGACCAAAGAUUUAUCGCCCAGGGAUGAGCCCGCGUAGGAUUAGCUAGUUGGUGGGGUAAAGGCUUACCAAGGCGACGAUCCUUAGCUGGUCUGAGAGGAUGAUCAGCCACACUGGGACUGAGACACGGCCCAGACUCCUACGGGAGGCAGCAGUAGGGAAUAUUGGACAAUGGGCGCAAAGCUUGAUCCAGCAAUGCCGCGUGAGUGAUGAAGGCCUUAGGGUUGUAA
rnacentral:rRNA from 1 species